CCGGCGGUGCAGGAUGAGCCCGCGGCCUAUCAGCUUGUUGGUGAGGUAAUGGUUCACCAAGGCGACGACGGGUAGCCGGCCUGAGAGGGCGACCGGCCACACUGGGACUGAGACACGGCCCAGACUCCUACGGGAGGCAGCAGUGGGGAAUAUUGCACAAUGGGCGCAAGCCUGAUGCAGCGACGCCGCGUGAGGGAUGACGGCCUUCGGGUUGUAAACCUCUUUCAGCAGGGAAGAAGCGAAAGUGACGGUACCUGCAGAAGAAGCGCCGGCUAACUACGUGCCAGCAGCCGCGGUAAUACGUAGGGCGCAAGCGUUGUCCGGAAUUAUUGGGCGUAAAGAGCUCGUAGGCGGCUUGUCGCGUCGGUUGUGAAAGCCCGGGGCUUAACCCCGGGUUUGCAGUCGAUACGGGCAGGCUAGAGUUCGGUAGGGGAGAUCGGAUUUCCUGGUGUAGCGGUGAAAUUCGCUAAAGGGCGAGUGAGUGAAAACCAUUCCU
rnacentral:rRNA from 1 species